GAGAAUCGCAAGCAGCCCAUUUCGAUGAAGAAGGCCGCAGAUAGCGAUACAGUGUCAAUGGC
rnacentral:rRNA from 1 species